UACUUUUCCUCAUCUGCAUUUUAAAGAAUCUUCUUUAUAUUUGUGUUGUCCUGAAAUUUCCUUGCGAAGUGUUUUGCUGUGGAUCCUUCACGAGCCCUCAUUCUGGGCACUCAGUGGGCUCUUUCAAUGCUGGAAUCAUUGAAGACAAAGCCAGACAGGAUUUCAGGCUUCUCAAAGGACACCUGGCUCAACUGAACGACUAGCUUAUUUUAUCACUCUGUAGGUCAUCCUGACCCUUAGAAACAGAAUUGAAGAGAGGAGGGAGCACCAUGCAAUUGUCACACCAUUACUCCUAGCCCCAGAGAUGCAAUGAUAAAGAAGUUCAGAGAUGCAAAAGAGACGGCUGGAAAGAGCCAUCACAGCACACUGUUUGAUUUCUCCCAGCGUUUUGAAAUCUUAGUGUCUUCAAGGAGUCUUACAAUACAAGG